UACAGAGGUCUCGAGCGUUGUUCGGAUUCAUUGGGCGUAAAGGGUGCGUAGGCGGCGUGAUAAGUCGGGUGUGAAAUCCCGGGGCUCAACCCCGGAACUGCACUCGAUACUGUCUCGCUUGAGGACUGGAGAGGAGACUGGAAUUCACGGUGUAGCAGUGAAAUGCGUAGAUAUCGUGAGGAAGACCGGUGGCGAAGGCGGGUCUCUGGACAGUUCCUGACGCUGAGGCACGAAGGCCAGGGGAGCGAACGGG
rnacentral:rRNA from 1 species